rnacentral:misc_RNA from 1 species
CCAAUAGCGUAUAUUAAAGUUGUUGCAGUUAAAAAGCUCGUAGUUGAAUUUCGGGGUCAGUAGGUUGGUCGUGCCACCGGUACGUACUGGUCUCACUGAUUCCUCCUUCCUGAUGAGCUGUAAUGCCAUUAAUUUGGUGUUGCAGGGAAUCUGGACUGUUACUUUGAAAAAAUUAGAGUGUUUAAAGCAGGCUAACGCUUGAAUACAUUAGCAUGGAAUAAUGAAAUGGGACGUUCGAUCCUAUUUUGUUGGUUUCUAGGAUUGACGUAAUGAUUAAUAGGGAUAGUUGGGGGCAUUAGUAUUCAAUUGUCAGAGGUGAAAUUCUUGGAUUUAUUGAAGACUAACUACUGCGAAAGCAUUUGCCAAGGAUGUUUUCAUUAAUCAAGAACGAAAGUUAGGGGAUCGAAGACGAUCAGAUACCGUCGUAGUCUUAACCAUAAACUAUGCCGACUAGGGAUCGGAUGAUGUUAAUUUUUUAAUGACUCAUUCGGCGCCUUACG